UUCCUAUGGCCCCUACUGGUAGGGGGAUGCGGCUGUUAACCGUACAGUUCUAGGUUCGAGUCCUAGAUAGGGAGCCA
rnacentral:tRNA from 1 species